UGUGAGGUUAACACUUCAUGACUGAGAGCUGUCCUUCAUGACAACAGAACCCACAACAACCAUGACUUUUAUCACCAUCUUCAUCUGGACACUUGCCCUCUGUCUCCAAGAGUCAAGAGGCCAGGUCACAGUGACCCAGACUCCUGCAGUGAAAGCUGUUUCAGUGGGUCACUCAGUCAGUCUCAGCUGUAAAACCAGCAGUGCUGUACACAUUAACAGCAAUAGACACUAUUUGCACUGGUACCAACAGAAACCUGGAGGAGCUCCUAAACUCCUAAUAUACUGGGCUAAAACCCUUCAGUCUGGGAUUCCAUCUAGAUUCAGUGGCAGUGGAUCUGGGAGUGACUUCACUCUGACCAUCAGUGGAGUCCAGGCUGAAGAUGCAGGAGAUUACUACUGUCAGAGUUUCCACCUUCCCAACAGUGUCUGGGUGUUCACACAGUGAUACAGAGCCGUACAAAAACCUCCCUCAGUCAGACUGC